UCUUAACCUACACCUUUAUCAUUAUCCUUCACUCAUCCUCCUUAAUGACAUUUAUUCAUUCCCCAGAAGCGUUUCAGCGUAACAUCCUCAAACAGUUUCAACCUUCAAUUUCACCUCUUCCAAUCUGUUUUAAUUGCAUGUCUCAAUGGUUGGGAGGGAGUAAAUCCGUUUCAACUCAUCUCUCCCUUCCUCUCUUCCCCUUCAAUCGCAUCUCUCAUGGCCCUUCCAAUUCCCCUUCAAUCGCAUCUCUCUUGCCCUUUCGGUUCCUGUUUCGAAUCUGUGUAAAUGGGUUUGAUAUCUGGGAUGUUUAUGGGUGGAAUAGAAUUGAUGGCAGCAUGGGAGAGGAUGAUGAGGUACCGAAGUGCGUUCCUAUCUUCACAGUUCCAUGAACCAAAUCGCCGCUUCUAUCUCACCACCGUAUCCUUUCCGGUUCACACAAAUCUGACAACCAGGCAUGUAAUCUUGGGGUGAGGAAACGGAUGGAGGGGAUGAUGAUAAGUGACUGUGAAGAAGUCACUGAAUAUAGAGGUUUUUUAAUUGUCCACCUAUGUUUCUGAUCUUUAUAGAAGAAAAAUUAGUUUUUAAUUUGAUCUCUCUGAAACUGCUGCAGUGUUCUAUUCUGAAGAUGCUUAAAGUGAGAUAAAGCGGGUUCGCCACAGGUUUUGGAGAGACUGUAGAGGAAGAGCCAUGCACAGUUCGAGCUUCUCUCAAGUUUUUUCCAUAAUAUUCAUGCUUACUAAGGUGUCUGUACAUGAAGAACAUUCAAGUAUUACAUGUGAGAGCUUGAACAUCACAAAAUAUGAUUGAACACUGAGCAUAUGAAGAGCUAUAUGGCGGAGAGUUAACAGAAUUGUCUUAUGGCAGAUUGUAGAUUCAAUGAUUUCUUUGUUUAAGGUGGACUUAUCAGGAAGAGGAGAGCUUGCUGAGUGCCAGCAAAAACUGGCACAAAUGCAUUCUUGAUUGAUAAAGAUAGCUGGCUGAACCCUGGUGACAGCAACAAGCUUCAUUGCAUUGGUUAUCUUCUUAGUUUUCACCGUUUCGAUUCGUUCUCAGAGCUUGCUUGUGCUGCCACAUCUCGGGGAACUGCACUACCAUCUAUAAUGGAAAGAAUAUGAAGAAGAAGCAGUAUGUUGGAGUACCAUCUUAUUUCUCUUCUGCACUGCAGAGGGAUAACGAAAUAAGCAAGCUGGAAGAAACCUCCUUCUCCAGAAGUCCUUUUUACAGUUUUAAAGUUCGGCAUGAUAAGAUAUUUAUGAUUCUAACCAUUCAUGGCUUCAAUCGCAUCUUUCAUAGCCUGCUCUGAUGCAAACAUCACAAAUCCAAAUACCCUAGACCUUCCAGUCUCACGAUCAUUGAUUUCAACAGGAUUUACUCGUACUCUCUAACUUUGACAGCAGCAAGGAGCUUUUGCACUAUUGAUAAAGAUUGCGGGUGAGGAACAUUUAGUUGGGAACGAGAAAGGUGUUAUUGGCCAAGAGUCUGACGAAUUUUCAAUUCCUCCUCAUUUGAUGACCGGUACUUCAGAGGGACUAUUUGAUUCUAUAGCAGCAGCUCUUGCCAAGUUUGUUGAUUCAGAACCUGAAGGUUUUCCCCUCCCUCAUAUUUUUUCCCAAACUGUCGUUUCAAGCCUGCAAUUCAUCUAUUACAUAUUCUCACCAUUCGUCGCUUCAAUGGCAUCUCUCAUAGCCUGAUUGGGUGCAAACCUCACAAGUCCAAAUCCCCUCUCUAUCAUAACACGUUGCAUAAAUUGGGAACAACAGGUUUGCUAUAUAGCCUCUCUAAUUUUUCUGAAAAAUAACACCAAACUUCAAAUUUCAUUUUCUGUAUUUUGUAGGCUGUUCACUGUCUGUAUUUUUUUCUAAUGCUGCACAAUCUAACUUCACAGCAGCAAGGAGAUUUUGGAUACUCUCAAGUAUUUCUUUUCCAAUUUUGCUUCCAAUUGUGCGUUCUGCAAUUUCAUAUACUUUACACAUUUUGUGAUUGUAAAAUUAGCUGCUGUGAUUUGUCUGAUAUGAUUAAAGGUGAAGUAAUAUGCUAUAUGUUCAUCAAAAGCUUCUUUAAUUUCUUGGUCAAAAUUUGAUAAAAGAAACUCAUGCUUUAGCAUAAUUUAAUUUGUCUAUAAAAUGUGUGCACCAUGCAGAUGAGAACUAAUAAUGGAGGAGGAGAGGCUACAACACGUGAAGUAAAGAAGAAAAGAUCAGAAGCAAUCUCAAAAAAGCCUAAGCAAGACACAUCAACAACUUCUUCUUCAAAGCAUGAAGGAGAAAUUCUGAUUGGUUUUGUCAGAGUUUAGGAUGGAGCUCAGAGAACAAUGGAGGUUGAUCGACCCAGUGGUUCUACAACAUUCAAUAUGAUUGCAUUUUCUCUCUAGGAUAUGAUAUGUUGGUGAGUGUCUUUUUCAUUUCAAAGUUUUUAAUCAUGACAACAAGGAGAUUAUGUACCUUGCAUUAGAUCCUGCUGUGAACAUUCCUGUGUUCAAUUGUCAAUAUGAAUGGGUUUGGACUCACACACUUUCCAAAUAUGAAGCUCCUCACUACAAGUCGCAUGUUCCUAAAUGGGUUGGUCAAUAUCUAAUAGAAGCACGUCUUGACAGUUGGAUUUCAUCGGCCGUUCCGGAGUGAGGGUUGAGUGUCGUGUUAUUAUUCAUCCCACUCAUGCAUAUGUGAAGAUAGGCAGCGGAUGGAGAAAUUUAUGCAGGAUUAAUAAUGUGUUGCCAUUUGACGAGUUGACCUUCAGGUUUACAAGUUCAGAUGCUAGGAUUGUUCAUGUCAAUUAAUUGGGCUUCUUAGGAUCUUAAGUUAGGGAAAGGUUUGUUAUCCAGUAUGCCUUCGCUGAUGUUUUUUUUGAACUAUUGUGUCCUACUGAAAUAUCAUGAUGGAAAUCGUUCUGCUGUCUCUUAUUCACUGGGGGCCAAGCUUAAAGAUAGUAUCGCUGUUUUUUGUUCACGGUAUGCGUUAGUCACCAGUGAGGAUUAUCAUUUGGCCCUGCUGAACCUGAUUUUGUAGUGUCUGUAUGCAGCUUCACUGCUUUCUUUGAGACCUAUUAGUUGUAUGGUUUCCCUUUUUUCUUUGUGUUAGCUUUCCAUUUCUGUUUGUAAUGUUCCAUUGUUUGAGACUUUUUAUGUAAUGUACUAAUGUGACACCUAUGUAAUUUUGGCAUUUCCCUACCAUAUUUAUAAUAUUAGUUUUUUUCCAAUAAGUAGCAAAA